rnacentral:rRNA from 1 species
UCACACCAUGGGAGUGGGUUGCAAAAGAAGUAGGGAGCUUAACCUUCGGGAGGGCGCUUACCACUUUGUGAUUCAUGACUGGGGUGAAGUCGUAACAAGGUAACCGUAGGGUAACCUGCGGUUGUAUCACCUACUUA